UAGUGGGUCUAAUCUGGUUUCCUCAGCUUGAAAACAUUGCAGAUCUCAAGGCUGUGGAACUAAACUCCAUAAAAGGAAUAGUGGGUCUUCCUCUGAUUUGCCUUCCAACUUUGUAAUAGUGUGACUCUAAACACAACGGAUGACAUCUUCAGUAAUGUGUUGCCUUAGCAUCAUGCUGGGUCAUUGGGGCUAAGUUCAAAUUAGCUGCUGUUUAUCCAUCUGAUGAUCUCUGCCAAACCUUGGCACAUGUUGGUGAUGGAGGUGGAGUCUGUGUGGAUGGAGCAGAAGUACAGUUGAAUGUAAUCCACAUAUUGGUGGCAUAUGAGCUUCUAGGCCAUCAUGAUCUCUCCAGGUGAUUGGGUCCUGAGUUUGCAACUUCAAGAAAGUAUAUAUACAAUUAACACACUCCUGAAGAGCAGAAAUUAUAUUCCCAUUUAGUCACAGUAUGGGUAAAGUACAGAUUUAGGUGAGAAACCCUGCUCAUUUGGAACAGAUGUGAAAGGCUUGAAUUGUAGCCGCACCACCAUCUCUCCACAGCAUUGAAGGAAGAUAAGUCCAGGAAGAGGCAGCACCGGGGGACUAUGUACCACACUCUCCUAUGAAGCAAUUCUGCUCAGGUUCUUGCUCUGUGAUGACUCAGUGCUUGUGGAGGGGAAGAAUUGCCUCUUAGAGGCACCCAGUGGUGGUGGGUCCGGAAUCAUCUGUCCUUCUUAAGUUGAGAAAACCCCAUGCGCCAACCAACUGGAAAUGUAACCUCUUGCUUUGCUCUUGUUUAAUUGAUUUGAGAAAAUAAUUAAAAGCAGAAUAUUGCAUAUAAAUGGUAGCACUCUCUCAAACUAGCGAAUGACUCUGAACGCUUAUGGUGAAUCAAACGUAGGCAGCUCAAUAGUCUCAGAGGGAGGUUAUUUAUUUGCAAAGCAGUUAAUCUUUUAGGCUGUCACUUCUAAGUCUUUUUGACAGUUCAUGCUGUACUGAUACUAACACAAAUCCCAAGUCUGUAUUGAUUUAUUGAAGAUUUAAAGUAGAUUUGUUUCCAAAAGCUAUAUUCUCAAACAGCAAGAGGUACAGAUAUGCCGGUACAUUUGCAGUCAGACUCAAAUUCAGAUUUUUCUCGUGGUGAUGAAGUUUUAGGAUAUAAUCUUCAAAAGUGACUUAGGCACAUUGGAAAAUUCCACCCUUAGGCUCCUAAGUGUCAUGCCUAGCCAGCCAAGUUGGAAAGCACAGAGUAUUAUACUGAAGUGCACAUCCAUUUGUGCAGGGUAUCUUGCCACUGGCAAAAGGAGUGAGCAGUACACAGCAGUACCGUAUGCUACAUAUGCAUAUUUGAGGAUUUAGAAACAUUGUAUAUCAUAUUACUUUAUUUGAUAAACUGUACAUGAUCAUGGAAUUAGAGCGUAUCCUAAUCCAUAGGUACCGUGGGAAGAAUUAACAUUCUCAUUUGCUGACUUUUGUACUCAUCAAGAUGCAAACGUAACAUUCUCUUGUUGUGGGAUUAUUUUAAAUAGCUGUUAUAAAGAUUAAAGAGCAGCCACCAUAUUAUAAAUUCUUCUAGAACAUACAAGUUUCGAAGGUCUCCUCUUUCCCUUGGUUUGGCAGCAACCCAGAAAGGAGCUCCUGUUUUAAGAGCAAUGUAAGAUGUCAAAUUCAAAUAUGUGCCACGUUUGGUGCAUUUACUAUACCUGGAAACUUUUAUUUAAAGCAUCAGAGAAACACUCAAAAUUAUGAGGCUCCCUUGUUUUUGAGAGGAAAAACAUGGCCAGCCUUGACUAUAAGGGCUGUCAAAUACUGAAGCUGUUCUUUAUUGCAUGUAUUCUGAACACAUUUCCGGUGCUUCUGUUAGCAACUACUAGGUCUGCAUACUAAGAAUGACUGACAUUAUUCAAGGUCAACAUCGAGAAUUUGACCCUGGGAGUCUCGAAAGCAAUAUUUUUGGCAUUUUUCUGAGGGAUAUACAGAAAGACAGGAAUUAAGCAGUAGUACUACAUGCAAAAAUUUGUUAUAAGAAAAUGAAAAAUUUAAAAGCGGGGGUUUUGGAGGGUCUGUAUCCUGAAAUUGGAACAAGUAUCUUUUUUCAUUAUUAUUUAACCUAUAUGGCACCUAGAGGCUGAGCAGGUCAGGGCCCUAUUGUGCUAUGUGCUGUACGAAUAUAAAGAAAAUGCAGUCCCUUACGAGAGUCUAUAAUCUAAAAAUACCUACCUCUUGGCCGCCACUUCUCCAUUUCUGCUUGCCUUGUUACUCUGAGUAGUAAGGGAAGGAUUUCACCCUAAUUUAGUACCUCAUAUGUGAAAUCACCUGGUACGUAACAGAAUUUUGGAGAAUUUAUUCACAUGCUAUAGUCUCAUACAGAGAACACCAGUAGAUGCUGAAGAAGGGCAUUGAACUGUUGCACUGUAUGUCUUAAACAAAGUAGUGUUCAGUCAUAUCUAUCUAUUACUGAAGAUAUUACAAAACUUAACAUAGUGCAGCACCUGGGUUUUACCCAUCUGGCUCACAGCAUUUUGGCAUACUUCAUCAACUGUUCUCCCCAGACCUAAGUCUGUAAUUUAUGACCUUGGAAAAGUUCUUGAAAAUGGAUAUAUAAAUAUGAUUUUUUUUGAUGUUCAGCUUGACAUCUCAGGACAUGUUUGUGGCAGACUAGGCUAGAAUUUCUCUUCCACGCAGACUCUUACUCCUUAUCUGGCAACAUUUUUAACAAACGCAAGAGGCCUUUAAAUAUCCUUCUAGAACUACUAAAAUACCACUAUUGGGUCAUACUCUGAUACCCUUACUUACUUUUAUUAAUAACUUCAUUGGCCAUCUGUGCCAUUGAUUUCAAUGGGGAUGUUCAAGGAGUAAGGUACUACUCAAAGUGAGCACAAGUAUGUACAGAAUAUGAACUUCAAUUUAUAGGGGGCCUUUUCUCAUUGACUUUAAUUACCCCAGAAGAAUGUCUCCAGAGAAAAUCUAGUAUUUACGAGUCUCUCUCUCUCUUUCUUUUGUAGAAGAUGUAAAAAAAAAAAAAAUGCACUGACCAUCAGUACAUUUAGGGCGAAUUGCCAACCCUUCUUUGCCUUUUCUGGGAUUUUAAAGAUAUCUCUAAUUAGUAUUUUUUCCCUUUCCCUUAAGAAAUAAUAGUGAAAACAUACACCAUUCAUUCUAACAGCAGGUGAUACAGUAUGACAUUAGUUGUAAUAAAUUGGAUUUGUGGAGUUUAAUUAAUUAAUGUGUGUAAGAUUUAAGAUCUUCAGACAACUUGCUAUGUGAGUCCUAAAAAAAAAAAAUUGUUGGGUUCUGUCCCAAUGCUAUAUGAAUUCAGAUUUACUGGUUACCAUUAGGUCUGUAUAUGUACAUUAUAUAUUUAUAGAAUGGAGUCUACCUGGCUAUUGGACUUGACCUCCUAUGAACCCCAGGCAAUUGAGAAUAAUCUUUGCCUGGCUGGGGUUGCAUGCUCUGUACCAGCUAGUGUGUGUACAUUUGUGUGUGCGCCAUUGCCUUAUGUUGGGCGGAAAGUCAUACUUGUUCAUUUGUGCGUGAUCAUGUUGCAUUGUGCAGGUUGGCCCACAUAGUCUACAAGCAUACUAUUACUACUGCUAAAGGAGAUCCAUCCUUAACUAAAGCCAUGGAAAUCUUGGAGUUCAGGAUCCUGGGUUCUCUCCCUAGUGUACAGUUUCCCUGACGACCAUGCUGUCUGAAUGUAUGAAACCAUGAAUGUAUUACAACCUCUAUCUAUGGGUCUCAGUCAUCCACCUUCCUUUCAUCCCUCUGUCUCCUCCACAGUCAAUCCUUCAUACUGUAUCUCAUGCCACUUGACCAUGCUUCUAUUCCUCUUGGCACUGCUUCCUUUCACCUGCACAUUGCUCACUUGGCCAGAUCCAGUUCUUUUUAAGUCAAUGGAAAGACUCCCAAUUGACACAUGCAGUUCUGGGAGCACCACUGCUUUUUCACUGUUUCCUUCCCCUUUAUUACACCCCCACUCAGCCCCUAACACUGAAACGUGGCUGUCUGGAAGGAAUGGCUGCAAGAGAACUGUAACUCAAAAUCCUCUCUAAACAGCACAUAAACCUUUGACCAUAACCUAGAGCAAAUCAACAUCACCAUCCCUGGAUACCAUCAUACUUGUCAACACAUCUUAUUAGAGGUUAGGAAAGCUCCUAAAUAUUUCAGUAAUGAUUUUUAUUGCAAUAAAGAAUUGUGUAUUAAACCAUUUUGUAUUGCCCUUGAUAAAGGGUUUAUUUCAUGAACGACUGCACAAGCCUCCGGUGAAUUUACAGGGAACCUGGACACAUCACUGUGGUACUAGUAAAUUCUAGUAAAAGAGAAGGGGAGGUUGGAAGCUGAUAAGAGGUGAUGACUCUGGGAAAGAAGAUAAUCCAAGCAAGAAUAAGCAAAGAGCAUUGAGUCGUGAAAGAAACACCUAAACAUUUUCAGAAAAUCUGAUGCAAAUAUUAAAGCCAUGGAUCAGAACUUUAAAUAAUACAGAUGGAACAUAAGCAGUACUAUGAACACCACUGAUUAGGGAUGAGUUAGGGGGUUUCAUCUCUCUAUAACUGGAUGUAUUAACUCUGAUAUUUAUGUAAGGAUGAAAUCUUAUGAUUAAAA